UACGUAGGGUGCAAGCGUUGUCCGGAAUUAUUGGGCGUAAAGAGCUCGUAGGCGGUUUGUUGCGUCGGCUGUGAAAUCCCGAGGCUCAACCUCGGGUCUGCAGUCGAUACGAGCAAACUAGAGUGUUGCAGGGGAGACUGGAAUUCCUGGUGUAGCGGUGAAAUGCGCAGAUAUCGGGAAGAACACCCGUGGCGAAGGCGGCUCUCUGGGACGGUACUGACGCUGAGACGCGAAAGCGUGGGGAGCCGAACAGG
rnacentral:rRNA from 1 species